UACGUAGGGGGCAAGCGUUGUCCGGAUUUAUUGGGCGUAAAGAGCGUGUAGGCGGCUAGAUAGGUCCGUUGUGAAAACUCGAGGCUCAACCUCGAGACGUCGAUGGAAACCAUCUGGCUAGAGUUCGGAAGAGGCGAGUGGAAUUCCCGGUGUAGCGGUGAAAUGCGCAGAUAUCGGGAGGAACACCUAUGGCGAAGGCAGCUCGCUGGGACGUUACUGACGCUGAGACGCGAAAGCGUGGGGAGCAAACAGG
rnacentral:rRNA from 1 species